GGCGCGUUCGUCUAGUGGCUUAGGACGCCGCCCUCUCAAGGCGGAGAUCGCGGGUUCGAAUCCCGCACGCGCUACUA
rnacentral:tRNA from 2 species